rnacentral:rRNA from 1 species
AGUUAGCCGGUGCUUAUUCAUACAGUACCGUCAAUGCCUCUCGCAAGAGUCGUUUCUUCCUGUAUAAAAGCAGUUUACAACGCAUAACGCCUUCAUCCUGCACGCGGCAUGGCUGGGUCAGACUUGCGUCCAUUGCCCAAUAUUCCCUA